rnacentral:rRNA from 1 species
CCCGCUGAACUUAAGCAUAUCAAUAAGCGGAGGAAAAGAAACUAACAAGGAUUCCCCUAGUAACUGCGAGUGAAGCGGGAAAAGCUCAAAUUUAAAAUCUGGCGGUCCUUGUGGCCGUCCGAGUUGUAAUUUAGAGAAGCGUUAUCCGCGCUGGACCGUAUACAAGUCUCCUGGAAUGGAGCGUCAUAGAGGGUGAGAAUCCCGUCUUUGAUACGGACUGCCAGGGCAUUGUGAUGCGCUCUCAAAGAGUCGAGUUGUUUGGGAAUGCAGCUCAAAAUGGGUGGUAAAUUCCAUCUAAAGCUAAAUAUUGAGGAGAGACCGAUAGCGAACAAGUACCGUGAGGGAAAGAUGAAAAGAACUUUGGAAAGAGAGUUAAACAGUACGUGAAAUUGCUGAAAGGGAAACGCUUGAAGUCAGUCGCGUUAGCUGGGGAUCAGCCUUCCUUUUGGUUGGUGUACUUCCUAGUUGACGGGUCAGCAUCAGUUUUGACCAGUGGAUAAGAGUUUGAGGAAUGUGGCAUCUUCGGGUGUGUUAUAGCCUCUUGCUGUAUACAUUGGUUGGGACUGAGGAAUUCAGCACGCCGCAAGGCCGGGUUUUUAACCACGUUCGUGCUUAGGAUGCUGGCAUAAUGGCUUUAAUCGACCCGUCUUGAAACACGG